GACGAACGCUGGCGGCGUGGAUUAGGCAUGCAAGUCGAACGGUAUCAUCCUUUCGGGGGUGAGAGAGUGGCGAACUGGUGAGUAACACGUAGGUUAUCUACCCUCAAGACGGGGACAACCCAGGGAAACUUGGGCUAAUACCGGAUGUGAGCAACUUUUAGUUGUUUGAAAGGUGGCGUAAGCUGUCGCUUGGGGAUGAGCCUGCGUCCUAUUAGUUAGUUGGUGAGGUAACGGCUCACCUAGGCAAUGAUAGGUAGGCGGCCUUAACGGGUGGUCGCCCACACUGGGAUUGAGAUACGGCCCAGGACUCCUACGGGAGGCAGCAGUCGAGAAUAGUCUACAAUGGUCGGAAGACUGAUAGUGCGACGCCGCGUGAACGAUGAAUCCCUUCGGGGUGUAAAGUUCUUUUAUAUGUGAGCAGUGCUUCUUAUAUUAACAGUAUGGGGAGAGAGAUAUUAGCAUAUGAAUAAGCAACGGCUAACUCCGUGCCAGCAGCCGCGGU
rnacentral:rRNA from 1 species